UUUGGUUAAGUUAGAAAGGGCGCACGGUGGAUGCCUUGACACUAGGAGUCGAUGAAGGACGGGACUAACGCCGAUAUGCUUCGGGGAGCUGUAAGUAAGCUUUGAUCCGAAGAUUUCCGAAUGGGGAAACCCACCAUACGUAAUGGUAUGGUAUCCUUAUCUGAAUACAUAGGGUAAGGAAGACAGACCCAGGGAACUGAAACAUCUAAGUACCUGGAGGAAGAGAAAGCAAAUGCGAUUUCCUGAGUAGCGGCGAGCGAAACGGAACAUAGCCCAAACCAAGAGGCUUGCCUCUUGGGGUUGUAGGACAUUCUAUACGGAGUUACAAAGGAACGAGGUAGACGAAGCGACCUGGAAAGGUCCGUCGUAGAGGGUAACAACCCCGUAGUCGAAACUUCGUUCUCUCUUGAAUGUAUCCUGAGUACGGCGGAACACGUGAAAUUCCGUCGGAAUCUGGGAGGACCAUCUCCCAAGGCUAAAUACUCCCUAGUGAUCGAUAGUGAACCAGUACCGUGAGGGAAAGGUGAAAAGCACCCCGGAAGGGGAGUGAAAGAGAUCCUGAAACCGUGUGCCUACAAAUAGUCAGAGCCCGUUAACGGGUGAUGGCGUGCCUUUUGUAGAAUGAACCGGCGAGUUACGAUCCCGUGCGAGGUUAAGCUGAAGAGGCGGAGCCGCAGCGAAAGCGAGUCUGAAUAGGGCGUUUAGUACGUGGUCGUAGACCCGAAACCAGGUGAUCUACCCAUGUCCAGGGUGAAGUUCAGGUAACACUGAAUGGAGGCCCGAACCCACGCACGUUGAAAAGUGCGGGGAUGAGGUGUGGGUAGCGGAGAAAUUCCAAUCGAACCUGGAGAUAGCUGGUUCUCCCCGAAAUAGCUUUAGGGCUAGCCUUAAGUGUAAGAGUCUUGGAGGUAGAGCACUGAUUGGACUAGGGGUCCUCAUCGGAUUACCGAAUUCAGUCAAACUCCGAAUGCCAAUGACUUAUCCUUAGGAGUCAGACUGCGAGUGAUAAGAUCCGUAGUCAAAAGGGAAACAGCCCAGACCGCCAGCUAAGGUCCCAAAGUGUGUAUUAAGUGGAAAAGGAUGUGGAGUUGCUUAGACAACUAGGAUGUUGGCUUAGAAGCAGCCACCAUUUAAAGAGUGCGUAAUAGCUCACUAGUCGAGUGACUCUGCGCCGAAAAUGUACCGGGGCUAAAUACACCACCGAAGCUGCGGAUUGAUACCGAAUGGUAUCAGUGGUAGGGGAGCGUUCUAAGGACAGUGAAGUCAGACCGUAAGGACUGGUGGAGUGCUUAGAAGUGAGAAUGCCGGUAUGAGUAGCGAAAGACGGGUGAGAAUCCCGUCCACCGAAUGCCUAAGGUUUCCUGAGGAAGGCUCGUCCGCUCAGGGUUAGUCAGGACCUAAGCCGAGGCCGACAGGCGUAGGCGAUGGACAACAGGUUGAUAUUCCUGUACCACCUCUUUAUCGUUUGAGCAAUGGAGGGACGCAGAAGGAUAGAAGAAGCGUGCGAUUGGUUGUGCACGUCCAAGCAGUUAGGCUGAUAAGUAGGCAAAUCCGCUUAUCAUAAAGGUUGAGCUGUGAUGGGGAAGCUCCUUAUGGAGCGAAGUCUUUGAUUCCCCGCUGCCAAGAAAAGCUUCUAGCGAGAUAAAAGGUGCCUGUACCGCAAACCGACACAGGUAGGCGAGGAGAGAAUCCUAAGGUGUGCGAGAGAACUCUGGUUAAGGAACUCGGCAAAAUGACCCCGUAACUUCGGGAGAAGGGGUGCUUUCUUAACGGAAAGCCGCAGUGAAUAGGCCCAAGCGACUGUUUAGCAAAAACACAGCUCUCUGCGAAGCCGUAAGGCGAAGUAUAGGGGGUGACACCUGCCCGGUGCUGGAAGGUUAAGGAGAGGGGUUAGCGUAAGCGAAGCUCUGAACUGAAGCCCCAGUAAACGGCGGCCGUAACUAUAACGGUCCUAAGGUAGCGAAAUUCCUUGUCGGGUAAGUUCCGACCCGCACGAAAGGUGUAACGAUUUGGGCACUGUCUCAACCAGAGACUCGGUGAAAUUAUAGUACCUGUGAAGAUGCAGGUUACCCGCGACAGGACGGAAAGACCCCGUGGAGCUUUACUGUAGCCUGAUAUUGAAUUUUGGUACAGUUUGUACAGGAUAGGCGGGAGCCAUUGAAACCGGAGCGCUAGCUUCGGUGGAGGCGCUGGUGGGAUACCGCCCUGACUGUAUUGAAAUUCUAACCUACGGGUCUUAUCGACCCGGGAGACAGUGUCAGGUGGGCAGUUUGACUGGGGCGGUCGCCUCCUAAAGUGUAACGGAGGCGCCCAAAGGUUCCCUCAGAAUGGUUGGAAAUCAUUCGUAGAGUGCAAAGGCAUAAGGGAGCUUGACUGCGAGACCUACAAGUCGAGCAGGGACGAAAGUCGGGCUUAGUGAUCCGGUGGUUCCGCAUGGAAGGGCCAUCGCUCAACGGAUAAAAGCUACCCCGGGGAUAACAGGCUUAUCUCCCCCAAGAGUCCACAUCGACGGGGAGGUUUGGCACCUCGAUGUCGGCUCAUCGCAUCCUGGGGCUGUAGUCGGUCCCAAGGGUUGGGCUGUUCGCCCAUUAAAGCGGUACGCGAGCUGGGUUCAGAACGUCGUGAGACAGUUCGGUCCCUAUCCGUCGUGGGCGUAGGAAAUUUGAGAGGAGCUGUCCUUAGUACGAGAGGACCGGGAUGGACGCACCGCUGGUGUACCAGUUGUUCUGCCAAGGGCAUAGCUGGGUAGCUAUGUGCGGAAGGGAUAAGUGCUGAAAGCAUCUAAGCAUGAAGCCCCCCUCAAGAUGAGAUUUCCCAUAGCGUAAGCUAGUAAGAUCCCUGAAAGAUGAUCAGGUUGAUAGGUUCGAGGUGGAAGCAUGGUGACAUGUGGAGCUGACGAAUACUAAUAGAUCGAGGACUUAACCAUAUAA
rnacentral:rRNA from 1 species